GGGGCUGUAGCUCAAUUGGUUAGAGCGUCGGACUGUCGAUCCGAAGGUUGAGGGUUCGAGCCCCUUCAGCCUCG
rnacentral:tRNA from 1 species